rnacentral:rRNA from 1 species
UACCCGCUGAACUUAAGCAUAUCAAUAAGCGGAGGAAAAGAAACCAACAGGGAUUGCCUCAGUAACGGCGAGUGAAGCGGCAAAAGCUCAAAUUUGAAAUCUGGCACCUUCGGUGUCCGAGUUGUAAUUUGAAGAAGGUAACUUUGGAGUUGGCUCUUGUCUAUGUUCCUUGGAACAGGACGUCACAGAGGGUGAGAAUCCCGUGCGAUGAGAUGCCCAAUUCUAUGUAAAGUGCUUUCGAAGAGUCGAGUUGUUUGGGAAUGCAGCUCUAAGUGGGUGGUAAAUUCCAUCUAAAGCUAAAUAUUGGCGAGAGACCGAUAGCGAACAAGUACAGUGAUGGAAAGAUGAAAAGAACUUUGAAAAGAGAGUGAAAAAGUACGUGAAAUUGUUGAAAGGGAAGGGCUUGAGAUCAGACUUGGUAUUUUGCAAGCUUUACCUUCGUGGUGGAGUCCCCUGCAGUUUACUGGGCCAGCAUCGGUUUGGAUGGUAGGAUAAUGACUUGGGAAUGUGGCUUUGCUUCGGUAAAGUGUUAUAGCCCUUGUU